rnacentral:rRNA from 1 species
GACGAACGCUGGCGGCGUGCUUAACACAUGCAAGUCGAGCGGUAAGGCCCUUUCGGGGGUACACGAGCGGCGAACGGGUGAGUAACACGUGGGUGACCUGCCCUCAGCUCUGGGAUAAGCCUGGGAAACCGGGUCUAAUACCGGAUAUGACUCCAUGACGCAUGUUGUGGGGUGGAAAGCCUUGUGCGGCUGAGGAUGGGCCCGCGGCCUAUCAGCUUGUUGGUGGGGUGAUGGCCUACCAAGGCGACGACGGGUAGCCGGCCUGAGAGGGCGACCGGCCACACUGGGACUGAGACACGGCCCAGACCUCCUACGGGAGGCAGCAGGUGGGGAAUCUUGCGCAAGUGGGACGAAAGCCUGACGCAGCGACGCCGCGU